rnacentral:rRNA from 1 species
GAUUAGAUACCCUGGUAGUCCACGCCGUAAACGAUGUCGACUUGGAGGUUGUGCCCUUGAGGUGUGGCUUCCGGAGCUAACGCGUUAAGUCGACCGCCUGGGGAGUACGGCCGCAAGGUUAAAACUCAAAUGAAUUGACGGGGGCCCGCACAAGCGGUGGAGCAUGUGGUUUAAUUCGAUGCAACGCGAAGAACCUUACCUGGUCUUGACAUCCACGGAAGUUUUCAGAGAUGAGAAUGUGCCUUCGGGAACCGUGAGACAGGUGCUGCAUGGCUGUCGUCAGCUCGUGUUGUGAAAUGUUGGGUUAAGUCCCGCAACGAGCGCAACCCUUAUCCUUUGUUGCCAGCGGUCCGGCCGGGAACUCAAAGGAGACUGCCAGUGAUAAACUGGAGGAAGGUGGGGAUGACGUCAAGUCAUCAUGGCCCUUACGACCAGGGCUACACACGUGCUACAAUGGCGCAUACAAAGAGAAGCGACCUCGCGAGAGCAAGCGGACCUCAUAAAGUGCGUCGUAGUCCGGAUUGGAGUCUGCAACUCGACUCCAUGAAGUCGGAAUCGCUAGUAAUCGUGGAUCAGAAUGCCACGGUGAAUACGUUCCCGGGCCUUGUACACACCGCCCGUCACACCAUGGGAGUGGGUUGCAAAAGAAGUAGGUAGCUUAACCUUCGGGAGGGCGCUUACCACUUUGUGAUUCAUGACUGGGGUGAAGUCGUAACAAGGUAACCGUAGGGGAACCUGCGGUUGGAUCACCUCCUUACCUUAAAGAAGC